GAUGAACGCUGGCGGCGUGCCUAAUACAUGCAAGUCGAGCGAACAGACGAGGAGCUUGCUCCUUCUACGUUAGCGGCGGACGGGUGAGUAACACGUAGGUAACCGACCUAUAAGACUAGGAUAACUUCAGGAAACCUAAUCUAACAUCGGACAAUAGUUCGAACCGCAGGGUUCGAUAGAGAAAGAUGGCUCUGCUAACACUUAUAGAUGGACCGGCGUCGUAUUAGUUAGUUGGUAAGGUAACGGCGUACCAAGGCAACGAUACGUAGCUGACCUGAGAGGAUGAUCAGCCACACUGGAACUGAGACACGGUCCAGACGCCUACGGGAGGCAGCAGUAGGGAAUCUUCGGCAAUGGGCGAAAGCCUGACGGAGCAACGCCGCGUGAGUGAUGAAGGUCUUCGGAUCGUAAAACUCUGUUAUUAGGGAGGAACAACAGUGUAAGUAUAUGUGCACGUCUUGACGGUACCUAAUCAGAAAGCCACGGCUAACUACGUG
rnacentral:rRNA from 1 species